AACUGAUAUCUCUGUUGUACU
rnacentral:miRNA from 1 species